rnacentral:lncRNA from 1 species
GGGAAUGAAAGCUCCCAUAUACAAGAGGUAAACCAAAAAGUAGAGAAUCUACAUCAAAACAUGAUUCUCUACAAAAGACACACAAACAUCUAUACAACGAGGAAUUUUGAGGCUGCACCAAAAAGCAAUCAAAGAAAAAUGGCUAUUUCUUAAAUGUGCAAAAACUCAUUUUCAAUCCCCUCAAAAGCUUUCCUACCCACAUAAGAGCUAAUGGGACAACCCUCCAUGCCUUUUGCCUUCUAUAUAUUCCAGCCCAACUUUGCAGGACCUCUCUUACAGUACCCAACAUUACCUAUUGUACACCAAAAUAAUUCAAGACCACCCUCCAGAAGCUCGACGGCACUUUGCAAUGCACCAAUAGAUUAUCAACUUCUUCACCUGAACACUUGCACAUAAAAUACCAGCUAACAUGACUGAUAUUUCUCUUCCUUAGGUUCUUAGCUGUCAGAUUUCCUGCCCUCGCUGCCAACCAUGCAAAAAAACACACCUUCCUGGGUGCCCUAAUAGCCUUUGGAACUCUUCCAUCUCCCAAUCUUGUAGUUUCUCCUAAAAGUAAAGUCCCAAAAAACUUCCCUUCCAUGCUCCUUGCAGGUCUGGUUGACUGUUGACCCCACGUGGUUUGAGAUUUUGUACAUGUUAGUGAACGACACCCUCAAUGGUCUCUCCCCAUAUCAUUUGUGAUUCCAAAACUAAUUCUCCUUCCGUCCCCCGCCCUAAAGGUGAUGUCACCAUUAAAGCCUUCAUAAUGCUCCUCCACAUGCUACAACCAAAUGAAACAGUAAAAUCUCUAGUCCUC